rnacentral:rRNA from 1 species
UACGGAGGGGGCUAGCGUUGUUCGGAAUUACUGGGCGUAAAGCGCACGUAGGCGGCUUUGUAAGUUAGAGGUGAAAGCCCAGGGCUCAACCCUGGAAUUGCCUUUAAGACUGCAUCGCUUGAACAUCGGAGAGGUAAGUGGAAUUCCGAGUGUAGAGGUGAAAUUCGUAGAUAUUCGGAAGAACACCGGUGGCGAAGGCGGCCAACUGGACCACAACUGACGCUGAGGCGCGAAAGCGUGGGGAGCAAACAGG